GUGUGCCACCAGCAGUCACUCAGGCUGCUCAACAUGGCUGAUGGUGGUCUUAUCUCUUCACCGCAUGACCAGUCUCAUCUGGUUCAGUCUAGACCCACCUCUAGUGAAAAGGGGGACAUCAUGAGCAACACUGGUGCAUCUUCAGUAGCAGGUACAACUGCUGUCCCUCCAUGUGAUUAAUCCCAUCUGCUGGACAAGGGCAGGACAAUUGUCAUGCACUCCACGUAACAGUCAGUCAGCAGUUCUACAAUGCUGUAGUGGAGAAGUGGAGGCCUCAGUCGGGGAUUCCACUUUAACUUAAGGUAAUUGUCUCCUUUGAAUCUAGUCAUUUAACUGAACUGUAAAUAUAUGGACCAUUCUAUCGAACUAGUUUAAACUGCGGUCCCAUAGAAAAAAACACAAUUUAAGAAACA